AUUGAACGCUGGCGGCAGGCCUAACACAUGCAAGUCGAACGAGUGGCGGACGGGUGAGUAAUGUCUGGGAAACUGGCUGAUGGAGGGGGAUAACUACUGGAAACGGUCGCUAAUAACGCAUACCAUCGGAUGUGCCCAGGUGGGAUUAGCUUGUUGGUGGGGUAACGGCUUACCAAGGCGCCGAUCCCUAGCUGGUCUGAGAGGAUGACCAGCCACACUGGAACUGAGACACGGGCCAGACUCCUACGUGAGGCAGCAGUGGGGAAUAUUGCACAAUGGGCGCAAGCCUGAUGCAGCCAUGCCGCGUGUAUGAAGAAGGCCUUCGGGUUGUAAAGUACUUUCAGCGGGGAGGCGUUACCCACAGAAGAAGCACCGGCUAACUCCGUGCCAGCAGCCGCGGUAAUUC
rnacentral:rRNA from 1 species